rnacentral:rRNA from 1 species
AAGCGCUUGUGACCAGACUUGCGCCGUGCAAAUCAUCCAGCCUUCUGGCUGGUGCACUUUGCCGGCUCAGGCCAGCAUCAGCUCGCGGUUGGGGAUAAAGGUUUCGGGAAUGUGGCUCUUCGGAGUGUUAUAGCCCGUUGCGUAAUACCCUUCUGUGGGCUGAGGUUCGCGCUCUGCAAGGAUGCUGGCGUAAUGGUCAUCAGCGA